rnacentral:rRNA from 1 species
UACGUAGGUGGCAAGCGUUGUCCGGAAUCACUGGGCGUAAAGCGCGCGCAGGCGGCGAUCUACGUCUGGGGGUGAAAAGCCCGGAGCUCAACUCCGGGACUGCCUUGGAUACGGGAUCGCUUGAGGAUUGGAGAGGCAAGGGGAAUUCCACGUGUAGCGGUGAAAUGCGUAGAUAUGUGGAGGAACACCUGUGGCGAAGGCGCCUUGCUGGCCAAAUUUUCUGAC